GGAUGUGAGGGUGAUCUGGCUGUGACGUGUGUCACCCCACUGAUCACCAGGGUUGAUUUGGCUGAUCUGGCUGGCUAAGCGGGUAUCCCCUUCCUCCCUCACCAAUCCAUGUGAGUCUCUCCUGAAGCUGUGAGGUCGGUCAAAGAGGACAGCCUUCCCUGAAUAGAGAUGGACUGUUCUUCAGUAUAAGUAUAAGAGUAGCUGCAGUCUCCUGCUAGAGCCUCCAAACAAGCUCUCAAGAAGUAAUCCUGACUUCUCUGGGAAAAUGACCUCACAGUGUCCUGGAGUUCUGGCCCACUAGGGAAAGACAGAAAUAGGCUGGGGGUAUGGACUGACCUGCCAGUGCCU
ensembl:misc_RNA 7SK 7SK RNA